rnacentral:rRNA from 1 species
AACGAACGCUGGCGGCAUGCCUAACACAUGCAAGUCGAACGGGAUCCUAGCUUGCUAGGUGAGAGUGGCGGACGGGUGAGUAACACGUGGGAAUCUGCCUUUUGGUUCGGGAUAACCGCGGGAAACUGCGGCUAAUACCGAAUGCCCUCGAGAGAGGAAAGAUUUAUCGCCAGAAGAGGAGCCCGCGUCCGAUUAGGUAGUUGGUGGGGUAAAGCCUACCAAGCCGACGAUCGGUAGCUGGUCUGAGAGGAUGAUCAGCCACACUGGGACUGAGAUACGGCCCAGACUCCUACGGGAGGCAGCAGUGGGGAAUAUUGGACAAUGGGGGCAACCCUGAUCCAGCAAAUGCCGCGUGAAGUGAUGAAGGCCUUAGGGUUGUAAAG